rnacentral:rRNA from 1 species
CUAGCGACUUCAGAGUUUGAUCCUGGCUCAGGAUGAACGCUGGCGGCGUGCAUAACACAUUCAAGUCGAACGAAUCAUUGAGGUGCUUGCACUGAGAUGGUUAGUGGCGGACGGGUGAGUAAUGCAUGAGCAACCUGCCUCGAAGAGUGGAAUAACACAUGGAAACGUGUGCUAAUACCGCAUAAUGUGUACGGAGGGCAUCCUCUGUACAAGAAAGGGGAAACCCGCUUUGAGAUGGGCUCAUGUCUGAUUAGGUAGUUGGUGAGGUAACGGCUCACCAAGCCUGCGAUCAGUAGCCGGACUGAGAGGUUGAACGGCCACAUUGGGACUGAGAUACGGCCCAG